UACGUAGGGAGCAAGCGUUGUCCGGAAUCGUUGGGCGUAAAGCGCGCGUAGGCGGCCUCGUAAGUCCGUUGUGAAAGUCAAAGGCUCAACCUUUGAAAGCCGAUGGAUACUGUGAGGCUAGAGUCCGGAAGAGGCGAGUGGAAUUCCUGGUGUAGCGGUGGAAUGCGCAGAUAUCAGGAGGAACACCAAUAGCGAAGGCAGCUCGCUGGGACGUUACUGACGCUGAGACGCGAAAGCGUGGGGAGCAAACAGG
rnacentral:rRNA from 1 species